GACGAACGCUGGCGGCGUGCUUAACACAUGCAAGUCGAACGGAAAGGCCCUGCUUUUGUGGGGUGCUCGAGUGGCGAACGGGUGAGUAACACGUGAGUAACCUGCCCUUGACUUUGGGAUAACUUCGGGAAACUGGGGCUAAUACCGGAUAGGAGCUCCUGCUGCAUGGUGGGGGUUGGAAAGUUUCGGCGGUUGGGGAUGGACUCGCGGCUUAUCAGCUUGUUGGUGGGGUAGUGGCUUACCAAGGCUUUGUCGGGUAGCCGGCCUGAGAGGGUGACCGGCCACAUUGGGACUGAGAUACGGCCCAGACUCCUACGGGAGGCAGCAGUGGGGAAUAUUGCACAAUGGGCGGAAGCCUGAUGCAGCAACGCCGCGUGCGGGAUGACGGCCUUCGGGUUGUAAACCGCUUUCGCCUGUGACGAAGCGUGAGUGACGGUAAUGGGUAAAGAAGCACCGGCUAACUACGUG
rnacentral:rRNA from 1 species